rfam:Otolemur garnettii contig169368, whole genome shotgun sequence.
GCGCCUGUAGCUCAGCGGCUAGGGUGCCAGCCUCAUACACUGGAGUUGGCAGGUUCGAAUCCAGCCCAGGCCCA